CUGGAACUGAGACACGGUCCAGACACCUACGGGUGGCAGCAGUCGAGAAUCAUUCACAAUGGGGGAAACCCUGAUGGUGCGACGCCGCGUGGGGGAAUGAAGGUCUUCGGAUUGUAAACCCCUGUCAUGUGGGAGCAAAUUAAAAAGAUAGUACCACAAGAGGAAGAGACGGCUAACUCUGUGCCAGCAGCCGCGGUAAUACAGAGGUCUCAAGCGUUGUUCGGAAUCACUGGGCGUAAAGCGUGCGUAGGCUGUUUCGUAAGUCGUGUGUGAAAGGCGCGGGCUCAACCCGCGGACGGCACAUGAUACUGCGAGACUAGAGUAAUGGAGGGGGAACCGGAAUUCUCGGUGUAGCAGUGAAAUGCGUAGAUAUCGAGAGGAACACUCGUGGCGAAGGCGGGUUCCUGGACAUUAACUGACGCUGAGGCACGAAGGCCAGGGGAGCGAAAGGGAUUAGAUACCCCUGUAGUCCUGGCAGUAAACGGUGCACGCUUGGUGUGCGGGGAAUCGACCCCCUGCGUGCCGGAGCUAACGCGUUAAGCGUGCCGCCUGGGGAGUACGGUCGCAAGAUUAAAACUCAAAGAAAUUGACGGGGACCCGCACAAGCGGUGGAGUAUGUGGCUUAAUUCGAUGCAACGCGAAGAACCUUACCUGGGCUUGACAUGUAAUGAACAACAUGUGAAAGCAUGCGACUCUUCGGAGGCGUUACACAGGUGCUGCAUGGCCGUCGUCAGCUCGUGUCGUGAGAUGUUUGGUUAAGUCCAGCAACGAGCGCAACCCCUGUUGCCAGUUACCAGCACGUGAAGGUGGGGACUCUGGCGAGACUGCCCAGAUCAACUGGGAGGAAGGUGGGGACGACGUCAGGUCAGUAUGGCCCUUAUGCCCAGGGCUGCACACGUACUACAAUGCCCAGUACAGAGGGGGCCGAAGCCGCGAGGCGGAGGAAAUCCUGAAAACUGGGCCCAGUUCGGACUGUAGGCUGCAACCCGCCUACACGAAGCCGGAAUCGCUAGUAAUGGCGCAUCAGCUACGGCGCCGUGAAUACGUUCCCGGGUCUUGUACACACCGCCCGUCACAUCAUGGAAGCCGGUCGCACCCGAAGUAUCUGAAGCCAACCGCAAGGAGGCAGGGUCCUAAGGUGAGACUGGUAACUGGGAUGAAGUCGUAACAAGGUAGCCGUAGGGGAACCUGCGGCUG
rnacentral:rRNA from 1 species